rnacentral:rRNA from 1 species
UACGGGGGGAGCAAGCGUUGUUCGGAUUUACUGGGCGUAAAGGGCGCGUAGGCGGCCACCGCAAGUCGAUUGUGAAAUCUCCGGGCUUAACCCGGAAAGGUCAACCGAUACUGCGGGGCUAGAGUGCAGAAGGGGCAACUGGAAUUCUUGGUGUAGCGGUGAAAUGCGUAGAUAUCAAGAGGAACACCUGCGGCGAAGGCGGGUUGCUGGGCUGACACUGACGCUGAAGCGCGAAAGCUGGGGAGCGAACGGG